CGGCUAGAAUUUUAAAUUAAGCCAAAACAAUAUCCACAAAUAUAAAAGUCGUUGUGUCCCUCCUGACUGCCCCAACAAGGCUGACUGAAGUAUGAGUCUGUGCUAGCAGAAGCAACUCUUGUCUCCUUUGAAGUGAGUGGACAUCUCUUCAAGGAAACCCUUCAAGGCUCUAUCUUCAAAGGGAUACAGGAUCCAUCUGCUGCCCCCAGCCACAGCCUCUGAACCAAGUGGGCUUUGCUCUCUGGCAAAAGAGCCAGAGAGUUCUUUUCAGGUUGAAACAAUCUCAGAUGGCACUGCUUUUAAAGCAAAUUAACUACUGCCUGUCUGGUAGAAAAAGCUGGAACUGUGACAAAGGACAGCAAUAGGAGAUAAAGAAGAGGAAGAGGAGGCACCCAAAGUGAGUGCUCUGUGACUCUCAGGCUCUACAGGGAACUCCCAGCCUGGCCUCUGCUUCCAAUUAAUGCUGCCCAUUAACAUCUUCAUGAGGUGAUACAUUUGUCUUCUGAAUAUGAUAGUCCAUUCUGAGGACAUACCUUUCAGGGGCUCCCUCUCCCUCGCCUCCUUUACUCUCAUGACAUGACACUUUCACAGCCACCUCUUUACCUCACACACUGCAUUCAGGAAAAGGACUGCAUGCAACAGAAAAUGGCUGAUUCCCCUAUGUUUUGAGUCUGGACACAGGAAGUGGCAGAAAUCUGAGGGAUGGAGAGCAAAGAGAUGAAAAGCACUGAUGGCAUAAGAAAGGAGGAGGGAAGGACAUCUACGAAUAUGACAUCCCCAAGAAUCUAGAGUGCAACCUGUGGAAAAGUUCAAUAGAUUAAGAAAUUUAUUUUGUUUCACUGGCCAAGUGGUGGGUGAGGAGGGAAGGGAAUAUGUGUUCUUUUUCCCCAUACCCCAUCUCCACUUUCUAGCAAACACUUGGAUUUCUCCAAUUGGAAGUUAGGAAGGUAGAGAUAAAUAGACAUAUUAUUUGGCAAGUAUAAUAAUAAUAAUAAUAACUGACUCGGACAAGAAUUAUCAAAGGCUGAGAAAACAAGUGGAUGAAAGUUUGAUAAGAAACAGUAUAUUUACACCAUUUCCAAAUAUUAAUUACAAAGAAGAUAGUGCUAACUUUACAGCAGAAAAACACUUAAGGAUACCCCCAUAACCACAUAAUCCUAGCUAACAUCACCAAUAAUGGGACAAACUGGCAUCAUGUCUCUACUGAUAUAAUGGAUACAAUAUUAUUUAUGUAGUAUUCCUGCCAAAAAGGCAUAACCUGAAAGUAGUGAGGAAACAAAUACACACAAAUGGAGAAGCAUUUCACAAAACAACUGUCCAGAUACUCUUUCAAAAUGUCAAUGCCAUGAAAGACAAAAAAAAGGCUGAGUAAUUAUUCCAGAUUAAAGCAAACUAAAAAGUACAAUAAGUGAUCCUGGAUCAAGGAAAAAGGCUAUAAAAGACAUCAUUUGGACAUGAUCUACUACUGUCUGAAUGUUUGUGUCCCCCCAACAUGCAUAUGUUAAAAACCCUAACCCCUAAGGUGAUGUUAGGAGGUGAAGCCUUUGAGGAGUUAAGUCAUGACAGCUCUGCCUUCAUUAAUGGAAUUAUUGCCUUUUUAAAAAAGACCCCAGAGAGCUAGCUAGCCCCUUCCAUCAAGUAAAGGCACAGAGAGAAGGCACCAUCUAUUAACCGUGAAACUUGCUCCACUAGACACGGAACCUGCCAGCACCUUGAUCUUCGACUUCCCAAACUCCAGAACUGUGAGAAAUAAAUUUCCGUUGUUUGUAAUCCUUGCUUUUAAGAGACAGACACAGUAUUUAGAGACAAAAUUCAUGACAUUUGCAAUUUACUCUCAAAUCAUUUAGCAAAGCUAACAGUAAUAGUAAUAGAGAGAAGGAGGAGAAGGAGACUGUUGGAGGGGGAGGGGAGGUGGAGAAAGAGAAACAAAGCAAGGACUGUAAAACAUUAACAUUGGUGAAUCUAGGUAAAGGGCAUAUGGAAGUUAAUUACAUUACACUUGCCACUUUCUGACUUUCAGUAGGUUUGAAGUUUUUUCAGAAUAAACAUUUUAUAAAACAUUACAAAAAAAAAAAGAGAAACACAGAGAAAGAGAGCGUGCACUAUGUAUAAGACAAAUAACUAGCUGAUUGUUAAGAUAGGUUUGUUAACUGAAACCACCAUCCCCUCCAUGAGGGGAACACUGACCUGGGUCACAUUUUUUUUUUUUUUUUUUAAGACAGA